GACGAACGCUGGCGGCGUGCCUAAUACAUGCAAGUAGAACGCUGACGGAGUAGCUUGCUCUUCUGGCUGAGUUGCGAACGGGUGAGUAACGCGUAGGUAACCUGCCUUGUAUCUUGGUAUAACUUUUGGAAACGAUACCUAAUACCGCAUAACAUUGAUUAUUGCAUUAUAGUCAAUUAAACUUUGCACUUUCAUCACUACCAUAUGCACCUGCGUUGUUUUAGCUAUUUGGUGAGGUAACGGCUCACCAACGCAACGCUACAUAGGCUGUCUGAGAGGGUGAUCGGGCAAACUGGGACUGAGACACGGCCCAGACUCCUACGGGAAGCAGCAGGAGGGAAACAUCGGAAAUGGAGGGAAGUCUGAACGAGCAACGCCGCGUGAGGGAAGAAGGUCUUCGGAUCGUAAAGGUCUGUUGUAAGAGAAGGAAGAGUGUGAGAGUGGAAAGUUCACACUGUGACGGUAUCUUACGAGAAAGGGACGGCUAACUACGUG
rnacentral:rRNA from 1 species